GAAUUUCAAGGACGUUCUUUUUAGAAGUCCGACCAUUUCAUUUUCUUACACCGUGCACACACUUUUUUUACACCAUUUUUAACACAUUAGUAUAAGAAUGUAAUCAGUCUCUUAAUUGAGCAUAAAACAAAUAAAACUUUCAGCAACGGAUCUCUUGGCUCU
rnacentral:misc_RNA from 1 species